ACCUGCUGUUUUCUCAAAGCACCUGAUUACCUACGCGUAUUAUUCUUUUAAUCUUUUCAACUAAUGAUCCACCUAACAUAUACUAAUUAUAUUUUACAUUUUAUGAUCAUAGUAUAUACAACACAUAUCACCAGCUUAAGGUUCAAGCUAAACAGAAGAGUGGUUCUCUCUUGCAAGAGUAUAAUUGGUUUGAUAACAUUUCAGAAAUAAUGAAUUUUGGUAUUAGUGAAGAGCUUAUAAAGAAAGCUUGUGAGUUAUCAAUGAAAGCUCAUGAGUGCUGCGAUGAAUCAAACCAGUACAUUUACAAGGAAUGUCAAUGGAGCUUGCCAGCGGCGGCCUUGUUUUCUUUCGCAGGAGUUUGGUCUGUCAGGGAUUGGUUUGAUGAAAGUUCUUGUUACGGAGAAACAGAUAUCGAUCUUGAUUUGUUUCCGUCUCUUAAAAGCAUUGGAAACCAAGAACCUGCACUUGUUAAUCAAGCAUUUCUUUGCAGGUUUCGAGCUAUUUUGGAAAAUUCUUCCCUCUCUGUUGAGGUUGAUGAAACUAUCAGAGAAGGAAAACAAGUAGUGUUUGCAGGGCAUAGCUCAGGUGGUCCAAUGGCCAUUUUCGCAACACUUUGGUUUUUGGAAAAAUAUACAAAUACAGAAUGCAGCGCAGCUCCUAGAUGUGUGACUUUUGGAUGUCCGUUAGUUGGUAAUCAUAUUUUCCCCCAUGCUAUCAAUCGAGAAAAUUGGAGUCAGUACUUCAUUCAUUUUGUGACAAAGUAUGACAUUGUUCCUCGCAUAAUGUUUGCUCCUUGUAAUGCUUUCGAGGGAGGGCUACAACAAGUACUUGACUUUUCUAAUCCGAGAUCCAUAUUUUACAAGCACACUUCUCUUAUUACAUCAAGAGAGGCAUCGUCGUUUGUUGAGAAUGUCUUGACAAAUUUGUCCUCUGUAGCAAGCAAUGUUGCCUGCAACCUCAUGGGAUGCACAAAUUUGCUGGUGCAGAAUUUUUCUAGUUUUGUAGAUCUUAGCCCUUACAGACCUUUCGGAACAUUUAUAUUUUGCACUAGAAAUAGAAAAAUGGUUGUGGUGAGGAAUUCAAAUGCUGUUCUGCAGUUUUUGUCUCAUUCUUCUCAGUUACAAUCUAGAGAUGAAGGUACCAAUUUCGCGGGACAAAUCUUAGAAGAAAGUUUGCUCUAUAACGACAUAUUGCAACAUAGUGCAGAGACAGACAGAGUGAUCACUUAUUUGGAUUCUUUAUCUGCUGAGGCUCUGAAGACAGGCGGUAGAGCACUUGAUGACCUUGGCUUCAGCUUAAGAGCAAAGCUCUGUCUUCUAGCAGCAGAGGACUAUGAGCAGCAGAAGUUAAGACGCGAGGAAAAAAUAGACAAAGAAAGCAUCAAAGAAAAACACAAUUGGUUGCAAGAAUACCGCAAGGAUUGUGAGCUGCGCAAGGGGGGUUAUUAUUUUGCAACGAAGACGAAAGCUGAUGAACAAGACCUCAUUGCUGGAGUGGUAGGGCUGCAACUAGGAGCAAUGUGGGAUGAAAUAGUAGAAAUGAUAAAAAUGUAUCAACUCCCGGAUGAAUUCGAGGCAAAGAAAGAAUGGAUAGAGUUGGGUGCCAAGGACCGACAACUCGUAGAGCCUAUAGCAAUUGCUGCCUACUAUGUACGUGGAUUGAAUGAUAACACAGGACCAUUCAUGUUAAAUGGUAGGUCUAGUGUGUUCAAGUUGACUCAGAGAUGGUCGGAUCACAGGAAAAAGUUGCCCAUAGAAUCAAUUACAGAGUCAUGUUUUUGGGCUGAAGUAGAGGAGCUAAUGCUUCUUUGUAAAAAGAGCUCGUAUGAAGAUCUGAAGGAGAGAAUUCUGAGAUUGGAGAACCAGAUUCUACACUGGAAUGAGGCUAAAGUGUUGCAGGAAGAUGUGUUCUGGGAAAAAUCUAUUCUUCGGCAAUGGUGGAAUUUGGAAAACACUUCCAGACCAACAUAAGUCUGAAUCAUGCAUUAGACAGUUUUUCCAAUGAUUAAAACUCUUGUUUAUAAAUCAUUACAAUCUCCUAAUCUUUUAGGAUCAAAUUACACUCUGAUAUACCCUAAAUUUCAUCCUCUUCGUAUUUUUUCUGCUUCAAGUGCUUCAGAUUCUUGACCCGCUUGUCUAAAGAAAUAUAACCAGGCAAGAAAAGGUCCUCCACUGGGAGUUCCACCACCAUAUUUCCCAUAGUCCUGCCUCGGAAUAAAAUGGUGGUUGUUCACAUCACUGUUCACACCAGGAUGCUCAGAGUUGCUCCCUGCAACAGCAGAUAGUUUCCGCACCUCGAUGUCGUGGAGAUUCAUUUCUGCCAUCAGUGACUUCACGUUCAUGGACAUGCCAGAGUUCAUCAACAUGGUUAUCAACAAUGGGAGAACAAACACUAGAUAAAGUAUCCUCUUCAUUCUUCAAGGCUCUCACACUGCAAAAGUAUAUGAUUUUGGAUACUUUUGAGUUCUAUAAAUAGAAAGAAUUUAGUGGUAUGCUAUGCAGAAUCAGAUAUUAAUUGACUUACCAGAAAUGGGCAGUGCAGGCAGGUGAUAUAUCUGCGUUGGUGGGAAGCAAGGACAGAGUUGUGCUGCUUUUAUAGUGAAGCUAGUCAGGUGACUGCAUGCAUAUCAUGUGCAGGAUAAUUUUUGUUAAA